AUUAGAGAAAAGGAUUACUCUAUGAUGAUUAGAGAAAAGGAUUCAAUCGAAGCUAUUUAUAAGCAUGCUGAACUUGCAUAAGCCUUUACUUCUCUACAAGUGUGAUUGGGAAAUCGGUCCUUAUGAGCUCCACUUUUUAAAUCAUUCGCGAAUUGGAAAGGAAAGGAAGAUCAAAAGAAAUGCAACUUGUAAAAGGGAUGCUUCGUAAGUUAUCCAGACAUGUAGUAAUCAACACUAUGCAAAUGCCGUCGUCAUGAGAGAAUUUAUGUUUGCCACAAUUUUGUCUUACAAAUUAUGUUUGGUUUUGAUAGUUUUAUUGUGUAGACUUUACUUUCGAUUUGUUAGACAUAUACUUGGUUUUUUUUUCUUAGUGUUGUUGUAUGACAUAAUGGUUGUCACUUUUAAGAUUCUCAAAAUUCAGUUUCACACUACGUUUAAUUUGUUUGUGGGUUGAGAUAUUGUGGUUGUCACUUUGUAUAUAUAUGACUAUGACUAUUGUUUUAUGGA